rfam:Callithrix jacchus chromosome 5, whole genome shotgun sequence
CAGUUUCCUGCUUCAACAGCGCUUGGACAGAACCG